ACAAGUAGCGGAGCAUGUGGUUUAAUUCGAAGCAACGCGAAGAACCUUACCUAAGCUUGACAUCCCAAUGACAUCUCCUUAAUCGGAGAGUUCCAUUCGGGGACAUUGGUGACAGGUGGUGCAUGGUUGUCGUCAGCUCGUGUCGUGAGAUGUUGGGUUAAGUCCCGCAACGAGCGCAACCCUUGUCUUUAGUUGCCAUCAUUAAGUUGGGCACUCUAGAGAGACUGCCAGGGAUAACCUGGAGGAAGGUGGGGAUGACGUCAAAUCAUCAUGCCCCUUAUGCUUAGGGCUACACACGUGCUACAAUGGGUAGUACAGAGGGUUGCCAAGCCGUAAGGUGGAGCUAAUCCCUUAAAGCUACUCUCAGUUCGGAUUGUAGGCUGAAACUCGCCUACAUGAAGCUGGAGUUACUAGUAAUCGCAGAUCAGAAUGCUGCGGUGAAUGCGUUCCCGGGUCUUGUACACACCGCCCGUCACACCACGGGAGUUGGAGAACUACCCAGGCCG
rnacentral:rRNA from 1 species